GCGAUCCCCGCAGGAGAGAGGGCGCUGCAAGCCCCGCCGAAGGCGCAAACUCCCAUAAACGCUCAGGCACAAGUACUGCGACCAUCAA
rnacentral:ncRNA from 2 species